rnacentral:rRNA from 1 species
GCGAUGAAACACGAGGACUUCCCAAGAGUUCACCCAUCCUAGUACUACUCUCACCCAAGCACACUUAACUGCAGAGUUCU